UACGGAGGGGGCUAGCGUUGUUCGGAAUUACUGGGCGUAAAGCGCACGUAGGCGGACUGUUAAGUCGGGGGUGAAAUCCUGGGGCUCAAGCUCAGAAUUGCCUUCGAUACUGGCAGCCUUGAGUACGGGAGAGGUGAGUGGAAUUCCCAGUGUAGAGGUGAAAUUCGUAGAUAUUGGGAAGAACACCAGUGGCGAAGGCGGCUCACUGGCCCGUAACUGACGCUGAGGUGCGAAAGCGUGGGGAGCAAACAGG
rnacentral:rRNA from 1 species